UACGAAGGGGGGCUAGCGUUGCUCGGAAUUACUGGGCGUAAAGGGCGCGUAGGCGGACAUUUUUAGUCAGAGGUGAAAGCCCAGGGCUCAACCUUGGAAUUGCCUUUGAUACUGGGAUGUCUUGAGUUCGGGAGAGGUGAGUGGAAUGCCGGAGUGUAGAGGUGAAAUUCGUAGAUAUUCGCAAGAACACCGGGUGGCGAAGGCGGCCAACU
rnacentral:rRNA from 1 species